CAGUAGCCGCGGUAAAACGGAGGGUGCAAGCGUUAUCCGGAUUUAUUGGGUUUAAAGGGUCCGUAGGCGGAUCUGUAAGUCAGUGGUGAAAUCUCACAGCUUAACUGUGAAACUGCCAUUGAUACUGCAGGUCUUGAGUAAAUUUGAAGUGGCUGGAAUAAGUAGUGUAGCGGUGAAAUGCAUAGAUAUUACUUAGAACACCAAUUGCGAAGGCAGGUCACUAAGAUUUAACUGACGCUGAUGGACGAAAGCGUGGGGAGCGAACAGGAUUAGAUACCCCCGUAGUCCCUGUCUCUUAUAU
rnacentral:rRNA from 1 species